rnacentral:rRNA from 1 species
UGGUCAAGCGAUUAAGCGCAUACGGUGGAUGCCUAGGCAGCCAGAGGCGAUGAAAGACGUGGAAGCCUGCGAUAAGGCUCGGCGAGGUGGCAAACGACCUGUGACCCGGGCAUUUCUGAAUGGGGAAACCCACUCACCACAAGGUGAGUAUCCCUGAGUGAAUCCAUAGCUCAGGGAGGCGAACCGGGGGAACUGAAACAUCUAAGUACCCCGAGGAAAAGAAAUCAACCGAGAUUCCCCCAGUAGCGGCGAGCGAACGGGGAGCAGCCCUUAAGCGGCACGACUGAUAGGCGAACAGGUUGGGAAGCCUGACGAUACCGGGUGAUAGUCCCGUAGCCGAAAUCUGAGUGGCGUGAAAUCGAGUAGGUCGGGGCACGUGAAACCUUGACUGAACAUGGGGGGACCAUCCUCCAAGGCUAAAUACU